GUCCGAUCCUCCAACACCGUCCAACCUACGGCACAGCAUUUCCAACUCUCUGAGGGAGCGGCAGAGACUCGUCACCGACAACAGCCGGGUGUCGUCGUUGAACACCGAUCUAGUGGAGGAACAACAUGCCUACAUUAAGGAGACGGUGGACACGGUCUUCCCUCCAACAUCAGGGUGCUACAGGGGGUCCCUCGAACAAGAUCAGGUGAAGAUCACAGAAGCUGGAGAAGGCAUCCAGGGUCAGAGGGAAGAGUGCAAGGACCGUGCAGGACAGCAAGUGUCCCAUACCGGUGGUGUCUGGUAAGGAGUGUGAGGAGAUCUACCGUCGCGGAGGAAGAGACUCCCAGAUGUAUAGGUCCAGCCUGAUGCCUUUCACCCCCCUACAAGGUCUUCUGUGAUAGUCCACCAAGAACGGAUGGUG